GCAGUAGGGAAUCUUCCGCAAUGCGCGAAAGCGUGACGGGGCAAUGCCGCGUGCAGGAUGAAGCCCUUCGGGGUGUAAACUGCUGUCAGGGUGCUGGAAUGAAAUGACCAUACCCAAAGGAAGCACCGGCUAACUCUGUGCCAGCAGCCGCGGUAAUACAGAGGGUGCGAGCGUUAAUCGGAAUCACUGGGCUUAAAGGGUGCGUAGGCGGAUGCAAAGGCGCUUUGUGAAAUCCCACGGCUCAACCGUGGAAUUGCUUGGCGAACCAUGCAUCUUGAGGUUGGUAGAGGUCACUGGAACGAUAGGUGGAGCGGUGAAAUGCGUAGAUAUCUAUCGGAACGCCAACGGUGAAAACAGGUGACUGGGCCAAAUCUGACGCUGAGGCACGAAAGCGUGGGGAGCAAACGGGAUUAGAUACCCCGGUAGUCCACGCUGUAAACGAUGCAUACUUGGUCGGAGCGGUUUGACUCCGUUCCGGCCGUAGGAAAACUGAUGAGUAUGCCGCC
rnacentral:rRNA from 1 species